CACGUAGGAGGCGAGCGUUGUCCGGAAUCAUUGGGCGUAAAGAGCGCGCAGGCGGCUUGGCAAGUCGGGUGUGAAAUCCCGGGGCUCAACCCCGUGACUGCAUCCGAUACUGUCAGGCUAGAGGUAGGUAGGGGAGAUCGGAAUUCCUGGUGUAGCGGUGAAAUGCGCAGAUAUCAGGAGGAACACCGGUGGCGAAGGCGGAUCUCUGGACGGAUACUGACGCUGAGGCGCGAAAGCGUGGGGAUCAAACAGG
rnacentral:rRNA from 1 species